UACAGAGGUCUCAAGCGUUGUUCGGAUUCAUUGGGCGUAAAGGGUGCGUAGGCGGGUCUUUAAGUCAGGGGUGAAAUCCUGGAGCUCAACUCCAGAACUGCCUUUGAUACUGAAGAUCUUGAGUUCGGGAGAGGUGAGUGGAACUGCGAGUGUAGAGGUGAAAUUCGUAGAUAUUCGCAAGAACACCAGUGGCGAAGGCGGCUCACUGGCCCGAUACUGACGCUGAGGCACGAAAGCGUGGGGAGCAAACGGG
rnacentral:rRNA from 1 species